ACGCGUGCCCGCCAGAGGGGGUGGUUUGAAGUCUCUGGAGGCUCGGGUGGCCGUGAGGUUCCCCUGUGCUACUGUAUAGAGGCAGAACUAACACAAGCCCCUAGUAUCUGUGCGUGCUGUUGUAUCAGUGACCUCCAAAGAAGGAAAAAAAAGAAUUAAAGUGGCAAAGGAAUCAUACAGAGGAGUCUGAGGAGGGUACUGAAAGCACUCCCCAGAGGCCUUUGCUGACUGCGACAGUGACAUUGUGUGUAUUACAAGCAAAUAUAGUAGUUUGGCUGUAAUCUUAGCUCCUACUGCCCACACAGAUUCAUGAACUGUCUUGUCUUAACCUUGCAUGUUGGCAACUGGGAAGCUUGAAAGAAUAAAUGACAUAAAAAGAAACAAGAAUGCUGACAGAAGACGAAGCAAGAAACAAUAGCUUCACAUUCAGUUCAGGAAGAGUGAGUUGUUUUGUUUUUUUCCUGUUCAUCCUUCUGGUAUGUCAAAAAGGCCUCCUUCACAAAUACAUGGGACUAGACAGAGAGUCAGUGGGUAAAUCCAUCCGUUUUGUACUCUGCUGGCAACGUUGUUUGAAUCACUGAAGGAGACGGUGUGCUCCUUCCUUGGCCCCAGUGCAGCAGAGCCUUGGAAGGAGUUCUUUUAAAGAGCCUCCAACAGCAUGAGCAAGCAGCUAACAUUUGCCUUUCCAAUCAUGUACGUUCCGAAAGUACAAGGAGAGGAUGAGACAGGACAGGAAGGAGAGGACCUGGAGGAAAGCCUAGAACAAACACCGGAGGAGCGUGUACAAUUGCUGGAGCAGAACAUGGCUGAGCAGAACAGAGAAGGAGGUUUGGUGGACAAUGGAGACUACAAGGUUUGAGUUCCUGUGGCUUGGAGUAUCAUGAACCACAACUAACUGGCUGAAGUAUGAAAAUUGCUGAAGGGCAUUUUCUAUCACACUUUGGGCAGCUGCACAUGAAAUUGAUGGAAAAUUACCUUUCCAAGGAAGAAGAUAAAUAUAUAAAAGCAUUAGAAGUGCACACGCAGUUACAGAAAUUUUGAAGGAAAUGAAGGAGA
ensembl:lncRNA